CUUGAACUUGUUGUCACAACUUACUUUAAUACUUUAACUUAAUGGAUAAUUAUUUACCUCUUAAAUAACUUUCGGAUGAAUUAUAUUACUCCCUUAAUGGCUGACGUGGCCAAAAAAAUGGAAGCGCGUUUUGAUGAAACAAAAGUAAGAAAAAAUGGGACCCACUUUUUAAUUUUCAACCAUUAUUUUUUUUCUUUUCCUUCUUCUUCCUCACACCCCACCACCCCCUUCUCUCCUCCUUCCUCACACCCCACCACCCCCUCUCUUCUCCUUCACUUCAUCAAUUUCUCCAAGCAAAAAGAAAAUUCGUUGAAUUCUCUAAAUUCACGGGUUUGGAAUUAACCACCUUCCUCUUCAUCAUCUCUUUAAAUUUCAUACCCACUUACUCUCCCCUCCCUCAUCAACCGCAUUUCCUUAAAGAAAAACAAAAAAGAAAAAACCUUCCUCCUUUCUUCCUUGCACCCUACCACCUUCCUUUUCAAUUCUGCAAUCCAAGUAAAAAAAACAAAAAGCAAUCAAAAAGACAAAAAAAAUGUAAAAGGAAAGAAAAAUCUAGAAUCAUUUACAAGUUUUCAAAUCGAAUUUCAAUUUCUCCACUCUCCAAGCUUCGAUUUGUAAUUAAAAACUAUUGUCGAUCGAUUCUCAUUGUGAAAAUGUGGAGGGAGUUUUCUUGAUAAUUCUAGUGGUUGUUAAUAACAGAGCUUUAAUGGAAAUCUUUAAAAAAAAAUUGAUUUUUGCAGGGGUAGGGGUGAGGAGUGGAUGGAUUUGACGGAAGGAGAGAAAGAAAGGGUGGGAUAGGGGGGAGGGAUGGGUGGUCUGAAAAAGAAAGAGGAGGAGAAAGAAACAGCAGGAAAGGGAGGAGGGGUUUGAAGAAGAAAGCUCGCAUAAG
rnacentral:lncRNA from 1 species